rnacentral:pre_miRNA from 1 species
UCGGGCAGCCGGAUGUGCCAGCGGAGAGGAUGGGAUCGCCGGAUUCGACGUCCCCGGCCUCCUCGUUGGCAGAUAAGGUGGCCUGA